rnacentral:tRNA from 1 species
UGUAAAUCCAGAGAAGAGCA